rnacentral:rRNA from 1 species
UACGUAGGGUGCAAGCGUUAUCCGGAAUUAUUGGGCGUAAAGAGCUCGUAGGCGGUUUGUCGCGUCUGCUGUGAAAACCCGAGGCUCAACCUCGGGCCUGCAGUGGGUACGGGCAGACUAGAGUGCGGUAGGGGAGAUUGGAAUUCCUGGUGUAGCGGUGGAAUGCGCAGAUAUCAGGAGGAACACCGAUGGCGAAGGCGGUGCUCUGGGCCGGAACUGACGCUGAGGAGCGAAAGCGUGGGGAGCAAACAGG